UACGUAGGGUGCAAGCGUUGUCCGGAAUUAUUGGGCGUAAAGAGCUUGUAGGCGGUUUGUCGCGUCUGCUGUGAAAUUUCGGGGCUCAACCCCGAACUUGCAGUGGGUACGGGCAGACUAGAGUGUGGUAGGGGAGAAUGGAAUUCCUGGUGUAGCGGUGAAAUGCGCAGAUAUCAGGAGGAACACCGGUGGCGAAGGCGGUUCUCUGGGCCUUACCUGACACUGAGGAGCGAAAGCGUGGGGAGCGAACAGG
rnacentral:rRNA from 1 species